CCAAUAGCGUAUAUUAAAGUUGUUGCAGUUAAAAAGCUCGUAGUUGAAUUUCGAGACCGGUCUACUGGUCGUGCUUUUGUACGUACUGGUUUUAUCGGUUUCUCCUUUCUGACGAACUAUAAUGCCAUUAAUUUGGUGUUAUGGGGAAUCAGGACUGUUACUUUGAAAAAAUUAGAGUGUUUAAAGCAGGCUCACGCUUGAAUACAUUAGCAUGGAAUAACGGAAUAGGACGUUUGAUUCUAUUUUGUUGGUUUCUAGGAUCGACGUAAUGAUUAAUAGGGAUAGUUGGGGGCAUUAGUAUUCAAUUGUCAGAGGUGAAAUUCUUGGAUUUAUUGAAGACUAACUACUGCGAAAGCAUUUGCCAAGGAUGUUUUCAUUAAUCAAGAACGAAAGUUAGGGGAUCGAAGACGAUCAGAUACCGUCGUAGUCUUAACCAUAAACUAUGCCGACUAGGGAUCGGAUGAUGUUAAUUUUUUAAUGACUCAUUCGGCGCCUUACG
rnacentral:rRNA from 1 species